rnacentral:rRNA from 1 species
AUUGAACGCUGGCGGCAUGCCUUACACAUGCCAGUCGAACGGCAGCGCGGGAGCAAUCCUGCCGGCGAGUGGCGAACGGGUGCGUAAUAUAUCGGAACGUGCCCAGUAGUGGGGGAUAGCCCGGCGAAAGCCGGAUUAAUACCGCAUACGACCUACGGGUGAAAGGGGGGGAUCGCAAGACCUCUCGCUAUUGGAGCGGCCGAUAUCAGAUUAGGUCGUUGGGCGGGUCAAGGCCUACCAAGCCUGCAAUCUGUAGUUGGUCUGCGAGUACGACCCGCCACACUGGGACUGAAACACGGCCCCGACUCCUACGGGAGGCACCAGUGAGGAAUUUUGGACAAUGAGCGAAAGCCUGAUCCAGUAAUACCGCGUGGAGGAAGAAGGCGUUCGGGUUGUAAGCUGCUUUUGUCAGGGAAGAAAUCCUCUAGGCUAAUACCUUGGGGGGAUGACAGUACCUGAACAGUAAGCACCGGCUAACUACGUGCCAGCCGCCGCGGUAACAC